rnacentral:rRNA from 1 species
UACAGAGGGGGCAAGCGUUAUUCGGAAUUAUUGGGCGUAAAGGGCGCGUAGGCGGCCUGGCAAGUGGAUGGUGAAAUCCCUCGGCUUAACCGAGGAACUGCCAUCCAGACUGCUUGGCUUGAGACCGGGAGAGGUGAGUGGAAUUCCCAGUGUAGCGGUGAAAUGCGUAGAUAUUGGGAGGAACACCAGUGGCGAAGGCGGCUCACUGGACCGGUACUGACGCUGAGGCGCGAAAGCGUGGGGAGCAAACGGG